GCCAGACUCCUACGGGAGGCAGCAGUGGGGAAUCUUCCGCAAUGGGCGAAAGCCUGACGGAGCAACGCCGCGUGAUCGAAUGAAGGCCUUCGGGUUGUAAAGAUCUGUUGACAGGGACGAAUAAGCCAUGCGAAUAGUUUGGUGUAUGACGGUACCUGUUUAGAAAGCUCCGGCUAAAUACGUGCCAGCAGCCGCGGUAAUACGUAUGGAGCAAGCGUUAUCCGGAUUUACUGGGUGUAAAGGGAGAGUAGGUGGCAGAGCAAGUCCGAAGUGAAAACCCAAAGCUCAACUAUGGGAAUGCUUUAGAAACUGCUCAGCUAGAGUGCAGGAGAGGCAAGUGGAAUUCUUAGUGUAGCGGUGAAAUGCGUAGAUAUUAGGAGGAACACCAGUGGCGAAGGCGGCUUGCUGGACUGUAACUGACACUGAGGCUCGAAAGCAUGGGUAGCAAACAGGAUUAGAUACCCGCGUAC
rnacentral:rRNA from 1 species